CAGUCGAGUGCGCGGUUGUAGCAAUACAACUGGCGCACGGCGCACGGGUGCGUAACACGUGGGUAACCUGCCCUUUGGUGGGGAAUAACUCCGCGAAAGCGGAGCUAAUUCCGCAUAAGAUCCGCAAGGAUGAAAGCAGCAAUGCGCCGAAGGAGGGGCCCGCGCCCGAUUAGCUAGUUGGUAGGGUAACGGCCUACCAAGGCUUUGAUCGGUAGCUGGUCUGAGAGGAUGAUCAGCCACACUGGAACUGAGACACGGUCCAGACUCCUACGGGAGGCAGCAGUGGGGAAUCUUGCACAAUGGGCGAAAGCCUGAUGCAGCGACGCCGCGUGGGGGAUGAAGCAUUUCGGUGUGUAAACCCCUUUCGAUCCGGACGAAACCCCGCAAGGGAUUGACGGUACGGAUAUAAGAAGCCCUGGCUAACUACGUGCCAGCAGCCGCGGUAAGACGUAGGGGGCCAGCGUUGUUCGGAAUUACUGGGUGUAAAGGGUUCGUAGGCGGUGCGGCAAGUUGGGAGUGAAAUCUCUGGGCUUAACCCAGAGGCUGCUUCCAAAACUGCUGUGCUUGAGUGUGGGAGAGGCGCGUGGAAUUGCAGGUGUAGCGGUGAAAUGCGUAGAUAUCUGCAGGAACACCCGUGGCGAAAGCGGCGCGCUGGACCACUACUGACGCUGAGGAACGAAAGCUAGGGGAGCAAACAGGAUUAGAUACCCUGGUAGUCCUAGCCCUAAACGAUCAGGACUUGGGGUGCCACCCGUUCGGGUGUCGUCCCGGAGCUAACGCGUUAAGUCCUGCACCUGGGGAGUACGGUCGCAAGACUGAAACUCAAAGGAAU
rnacentral:rRNA from 1 species